rnacentral:rRNA from 1 species
GACGAACGCUGGCGGCGUGCUUAACACAUGCAAGUCGAACGAAGUGUCGAACGGGUGAGUAACGCGUAAUCCACCUGCCCUUCAGAGGGGGACAACAGUUGGAAACGACUGCUAAUACCGCAUACUGCAGGGCGGGAUUGCGUCUGAUUAGCUAGUCGGAGGGGUAACGGCCCACCAAGGCGAUGAUCAGUAGCCGGUCUGAGAGAAUGAACGGCCCAAUUGGGAAUGAGAAACGGCCCAGACUCCUACGGUAGGCAGCAGUGGGGAAUCGUCCGCAAUGGACGAAAGUCUGACGGAGCAACGACGCGUGAGUGAUGACGGCCUUCGGGUUGUAAAGCUCUGUUAAUCGGGACGCGGUACCGGAAUAGAAAGCCACGGCUAACUACGUGCCAGCAGCCGCGGUAAUUC